UUGGGUGUGUUUUUGGUUAACUUCUAUUGGACCGCCUCAACCAAAAACCCAGCUGAGUUUUGAAGCAUUGGAAUUCGUUGAGCCUCCUCCCUCAAAACCCUCUAUCUUUGCCUUUCUCUUUAUUUUCUGCAGGCUUUUACUCCUCCUUCAAGUACCCUCCAACAUGAGUCGCCAUCCUGAGGUUCUUUGGGCUCAGAGCUCUGAUAAGGUAUACCUGACGAUCUCUUUACCUGAUGCAAAAGAUAUUUCUGUUAAAUGUGAGCCUCAGGGAUUAUUUAGUUUCUCUGCCAUGGGGGUGCAAGGAGAAUGCUUCGAUUUCAGUUUGGAGCUUUGUGGAAAAAUAGUACCUGAGGGUUGCAAAACUAAUGUUGGGUUAAGGAAUAUAAUAUGCUCUAUCCAGAAAGAAGAGAAAGGGUGGUGGAAAAGAUUAUUAAAGUCUGAAGAGAAACCAGCACCUUACAUCAAGGUUGAUUGGAACAAAUGGUGUGAUGAAGAUGAGGAAGAGUCAAAUUCUGAUUUGGCCUCUGACGAUGAUGAUGCCAUGUAUGUUGGUCGAGAUGAUGAAAGCAGCGAUGAUGAAGGAUUGCUGUCUUGAAGAAGCAAAGUGGGCAGAAUUUAUUCGGCCUUUGGACGGGUUUAAGAGUUAGGAAGAUGAGGUAUGAAGGGAAGGGUGGAUGGGGACUAUUAACAUUGUUGACCGGAUAUCAAGAUUAAUUGGUGAAAAUAAAAUAUUGAACGGAAUGCAUAAGCUGAUGCUUGAGCUGUUAACACAACAUUGCUGUGUGAAAGUUGCUUAAACCGUAGCCUAGCACGAAGGAAGGUGAAAGUUUGUGAGGACUCAAAGGUAAGUAGGUUAUGGAGAAUCAAGAGCCCACUUCAAUGUUUCUUAGUUCAGCACCUUUCUAGCACCACUACUUUUUCUCCCAAAGCUCUCGAGUUGAGGUGGAAACCAAGAUGAUCUUCCUGAUUUGGAAAAGGCAAGAGGAAACUAAGUAAUGAAUCAGAGCUAACCAGAGACAAAUGGAAGAUGGACCUACUCGAGGAACAACUUAAAUCCUGCUGUGGAAUUAUUAGAACUGGAGUUCAUAUAUAUUCAUAUCUAACCCCUUCUUCAAGGCAGAGGCCAAUCCCAGAUUAAGAGCACUAGGAUUCUGAAUUCAUUUCAAUCUAUUUUUGCUUAACUUGUUUACAGUAUUUGCUCAUAAAAUCAUUAUGAUCAGACACAAUGAUACAUCCAUCUGCUUUAUUUUCUACAUUGUUUGGUCUUUCUUUGA